AUGUGUCUGGGAUGGGAAGGAAGAGCUGCAGAGCACCACUUCCCUCCCCUCUCCCUUGCCAAUUAUCCAUCAUCCAUCACUUGGGGUGGCUGCUGGCAGCAGCCUGGACAACGAUCUCCAGCCUCUGCCUUGGCUCCCCCACCUCUGAGCCUGAUGGCAAAGCACAAGGAGCUGCCACCAUCGAGCUGCCCUGAAUUAUUUGGAGUUCGUUGUUUGCUGAGCCCUGGUCCACCUGGAGCACUGCAUCCAGCCCUGGCUCCAACAGCAGAAGGAUUCAGAGCUGCUGGAGAUGGUCCAGAGGAGCCCACGGAGCUGCUCCCAGGGCUGGAGCCCCUCUGCUCUGGAGCCAGGCUGGGAGAGUGUGGAAGGACAGGGGAUGGUGUGGGAGGACUGGAGAUGGUGUGGAAGGACAGGGGAUGGUGUGGAAGGAUGGGAUGGUGUGGAAGAAGGACAGGGGAUGGUGUGGAAGGACUGGGGAUGGUGUGGAAGGAUGGGAUGGUGUGGAAGAAGGACAGGGGAUGGUGUGGAAGGACAGAUGAUGGUGUGGAAGGACUGGAGAUGGUGUGGAAGGACUGGGGAUGGUGUGGAAGGAUGGGAUGGUGUGGAAGAAGGACAGGGGAUGGUGUGGAAGGACAGAUGAUGGUGUGGAAGGACUGGAGAUGGUGUGGAAGGACAGGGAAUGGCUUGAAAAGGCAGCAGGGAGGAAGGACAAUGCUGACAAUCCUCCAGCACAGGCUGAGCUCAAGGCUCAGCCGGGCUCUAAAUUUACAGGGCUGUGCCUUCUGGAGUGCAGAUGACCAAUAAGUGCUUGUCGCUUUUAAGAAAGCCCUUGUGCCUCGCAAUAACUCAGCGCUGAUUGCCCGCAUUUCCUUAAAAGAGCUCAUUUAGGGUUGAUUUAAGCACUCCUGGGGAGGGCAGGCAGGCGGGGGGAGGUGAUUUACAGAGCUGGUGGAGCUGCAGAGGCAGCUCAGGCCUGAAGCCCCCCCCCCCCCCCCCCCCCCCCCCCCCCCCCCUGAAGUGUGGGACUGGCUGGAGAGCCCGGGACUCUCCAGAAAGGGUCCUGCAGCUGAUCCAUGGCACGGAUAAAUUCUUUUCUCCCUCUUUUCUCCCUCUUCAAGGGCCAGCUCUGGUUCAAGCACGGGUUUGCCGUGCCCCACAGAUGCCAGAGGUCGGGUGUGUUUGUAGCUGCAUUUCACCACUCGGAUUUGGGCGAGGGCACCAGUCUGGGCUCCGGACUCUGGGAAACUGCUGUUCAGGAGGAAACACCACCCUGGGCUCCACUGAGUGCAAAGGUGACCCCUGCAGGGACUUUCAAUUGAUCCAAUAAAUGUCACUGAACAAGGAGAUUGGAUGCACACAUCCCCAUGGAGCUGAUCCCUCUUUUUUUUUUUUUUUUUUUUUUUUUUUUUUUUUUUUCCCCCCCCCCCCCCCCCCCCCCCCCCCCCCCCCUUUUUUGUGGUGGCACCCUGGCAAGAGGUUCCAGUGAGGCCCUGUGGGCCCUGAGGGGAGGAGGUUUUGCCCCAGUUUUACAAAUCCUCCUUCCCAUCAUCUCCUGUCCCACUCGGGACAGCUCUGGCAGCAGAGAAUGUGGGCAGGCAAAGCCCCGAUGGGUUCCCCCAUUCCUGGGCCCUGCAGGACCUUCCUGCCACGGCAGAGGUGUCUGAAAAUGACAGGAAAAUGAUCCCCAGCACUGUCCAGCUCCUCUUUCUCAGCCACAUCUUCUCUGACAUUCCCAGGAGCUGCCUGGCAGGUCCCUGCCACGCUGCUGGCAAAAGCAGAAAAGCAGGAAUAAUCCAAACUUUUAAUGACACAUCUCCUAGUUUGUAAGUGUGCUGCCUCUUUAAAACACUGCCUGAUAUUUCUGUGCAUCCCUGUCUGAAGGGGCUGGAAAACACUGAGAAGAGAAAUAAUGAGGAGAAAAGGAUCCUUUUAGAAGUGAGCAGAACGGGGAGAUUUCUGCUGUGCUGCCCUCCUUUUGCCGAGUCCCUCUCUCUGCUCCUGCCCUCCCAAACUGGGGCAAGGCCAGGGAGGCGAGGAGCUGCCCCACGCGUGGCUCAGAGCCUCUCCUGCUGGCUGCUGCCCACCCCGGAGCCUUGUCUCGGCUGCUGGCUGGCUGGGGGCUGGAGCUGUCAGAGCAGGACCUGGUUUCCAUAGCAAGCGUUGGCAGACAGAGGCUCAGCAGAGCCGAGAAGAAAAGCCUUUAUUCCCCCACCAGCACGAAGGGCGCGGAGAGCUGCGGUGCCACGUGUGGUGCAGACUCCACGAGCUUCCUCCCAGCAGGACGAGCCUGCGAGCCAGGGCCUGCUGGCAGCUUUGUCUCCAGCUCAGGGUGAAGCUUUGUGGUGCUGAGCUGGGGCUUGCCCCCGAUUCAUGGGUUUGUGGCUCUCCCAGAGGAGCCGAGGCUGUGCCCGGGGGGGGAUGCGCUGCUCCUGCCCCACAAAGCACAGAGGGAAACCUGCCCAGGGCCAAGGCACUGAGGGGAGGUGGAGACGGCCAGAAGUCCCGUGGGAGGCAGGGAAAGACAAGGUCCAGGCAGGUGGGAUGAAGGUCCUGAAAACCCCCAGGGUGGGGCUGGGCAUUGCCAGGGCCACAAAAGGUGAAAGCCCCCCGGAUCAGGGGGGGUGGGACACUCCUGCUAUGGCUCUGCCCUGUCCCACCCUGCUCCCAGGGACCCCGAGGUGUUCCCCCUCCCACAGCACAGGGGCCACACUGUGCUCCCCCCAGCACUGCGGGGCCCCUGCCACCCUCCAGCACCCCGUGCCAAGCUGCCUGCACAGGGUGGGUUUGUCUCUGGCUGCACGGAAAACAGGAGAGGAGCCUUCCCUGAGCACCACCCAGCUGAUGGCAUUUCCUGCAGCUCACCAGUGCUGUGGGGCUGUUGUGGUUCUGUGUGUGAGCCCAAAGGCUGGGCCAUCUCAUCUCUCCACACUGCCGUCAGCAUCACAAACUGCCUCCAGAACCACAGCCCUGCUCCCAGCAGCUCCAGCUUUCCACAAGGAUGGGGCUGCACAGGGCUGGGAGGAGACACUUGUUUAGCUGAUAGAGGAGAGGGAGAGGGAUCCAAGGCCACAGAGGGUUACAGAACACUUUAUGGGAAUCAUUUCUCUCUCCCCUGCGGCUGGGGAUCCCCAGCUCACUUGGCACAGGCUGUUUCGGGCGGGCUCUGCGGUGUCCCCUGCGAGGCUUUGGGGACUGGCAGGGGCUGGAGGGUGGUGGGGACAUCUCUGCCUGCACAGGGGUGGUUCCACGUUCCCAGGGGCACACGGGGAUCCAUCCUCUCCUGGCCUGGUCCUUGGCAGUCCCCCAGGAGCAGAGGGAUUGCCCAGCCAGUCCUGCCCUGGGGCAGCUGUGACAAUCCUGUCCUGUCCCCCGGGCAGCACCUGAGGGCUGUGUCUGCGUCCUCCUGAGGGGCCACUGAGCAGGGCAGCAGAGCAGCCUCCACCCCUCCUCCAGAUGCAGGGAUCCGUGCUUGCAGUGGACAUUAAACCCACAGCAAGGGUAAAAAGGAAAAGCUGUGCUGCAGCCAGAGCUCCUUCCCCCAGGCAGAGCCCUCCGGUGCAGGGACCCUGCCCAGGCCAGGAGAGGCAGGCGGGGACACGGGUGACCUCGGAGAGGUCUCACCUUUCUCACAGCUACCCAAGGGUAGGACAAGCAUCCAGCUCUUCCCCUGCUGGAUUCCUGUGCAGGAGUGCACCACAGCACUGGGAAUGUGCUGGCAAGAAUUCCCUCAGCCCCAGCCACCCCAGGGCUUUUCCCUGGCUCUGGAAUGGUCGGGCACAGCUGGGGCUGAGCACCCUGCAGGUGAAGGGAACACUCUGUUCCCCAGCUGGAUGCUGGACACAGGCUCUCCCUGCUGGGAACAGACCCCCAGCCCUGGUGCACAAGGAGAAUUCCAAACUCGUUUCCAAAUGGUUGGUUAAAGAAAGGCAGUGGAGGAGGGAAGAUGCUCUUUUAUGUAUUAAUUACACACUAACUAAUUUCCUCUAGAGCUACACCGGGAGCACGUGAAGAAUCACUGCAUUAAUUAGGGAAUGAAUGACCCCGUACUCAUCCCUGACAGGCUCCCAGCCCUGGCAGCCGUUUGUUACCAGCAAGGAGAAGCCCCAGAUUUCACUGCAGAGCAGAACAAGGAGUGACCACACACUCAGCUCUGCAGCAUUCUCCUGCCAGAGCACAGGGAACUCGUCCGUCCCCCUGGGAUCAGCCAGAAACACUCCAUAUAACGCUCCCAGCAUCUCACACCUUUGAUUUGGGGACCAAGAGAUUUUUCCUCCAGCUGAAUAUCUCUGCAGCAGCACAUCAGAGCAAUGACCAGGGGCAGCUUUCACUCCUGCACAGCUCAUCCCCUGCCAGAGCCCCAGCAGCCUGUGCAUUCUUAAUUGACAGAAUUAGGAAGCUUAUUUGAAGAAUACUUGAGUCCUCAGAGUCUAAUUUCCUGCUGUAUAAAUAAUACAUCAG
rnacentral:lncRNA from 12 species